rnacentral:rRNA from 1 species
CUUCGGCGUGUGACUGCGUACCUUUUGUAUAAUGGGUCAGCGACUUAUAUUCUGUAGCAAGGUUAACCGAAUAGGGGAGCCGAAGGGAAACCGAGUCUUAACUGGGCGUUAAGUUGCAGGGUAUAGACCCGAAACCCGGUGAUCUAGCCAUGGGCAGGUUGAAGGUUGGGUAACACUAACUGGAGGACCGAACCGACUAAUGUUGAAAAAUUAGCGGAUGACUUGUGGCUGGGGGUGAAAGGCCAAUCAAACCGGGAGAUAGCUGGUUCUCCCCGAAAGCUAUUUAGGUAGCGCCUCGUGAAUUCAUCUCCGGGGGUAGAGCACUGUUUCGGCAAGGGGGUCAUCCCGACUUACCAACCCGAUGCAAACUGCGAAUACCGGAGAAUGUUAUCACGGGAGACACACGGCGGGUGCUAACGUCCGUCGUGAAGAGGGAAACAACCCAGACCGCCAGCUAAGGUCCCAAAGUCAUGGUUAAGUGGGAAACGAUGUGGGAAGGCCCAGACAGCCAGGAUGUUGGCUUAGAAGCAGCCAUCAUUUAAAGAAAGCGUAAUAGCUCACUGGUCGAGUCGGCCUGCGCGGAAGAUGUAACGGGGCUAAACCAUGCACCGAAGCUGCGGCAGCGACACUAUGUGUUGUUGGGUAGGGGAGCG